rnacentral:rRNA from 1 species
UACGGGGGAGCAAGCGUUGUUCGGAUUUACUGGGCGUAAAGGGCGCGUAGGCGGUCAGCACAAGUCAGUUGUGAAAUCUCCGGGCUUAACUCGGAAAGGUCAACUGAUACUGUGCGACUAGAGUGCAGAAGGGGCAACUGGAAUUCUCGGUGUAGCGGUGAAAUGCGUAGAUAUCGGGAGGAACACCUGUGGCGAAAGCGGCUCACUGGGCCGGAACUGACGCUGAGGAGCGAAAGCGUGGGUAGCAAACGAGG